GAUGGACGCUAGCGGCAGGCUUAAUACAUGCAAGUCGAGGGGUAGCAAGAUUGUAGCAAUACAAUUGUUGACGACCGGCAAACGGGUGCGGAACACGUACACAACCUUCCUACAAGUGGGGAAUAGCCCAGAGAAAUUUGGAUUAAUACCCCGUAACAUAGCGAUGUGGCAUCACAUUGCUAUUAUAGCUUCGGCGCGUGUUGAUGGGUGUGCGGCUGAUUAGAUAGUUGGCGGGGUAACGGCCCACCAAGUCUACGAUCAGUAGCUGAUGUGGGCGAAUGAGCAGGCACAGGGGCACUGAGACACGGGCCCGACUCCUCCCGGAGGCAGCAGUAAGGAAGAUUGGAGAAUUGACGAAAGUCUGAUCCAGCCAUGCCGCGUGAAGGAUUAAGGUCCUCUGGAUUGUAAACUUCUUUUAUAAGGGACGAAAAAAGGUCUUUCUAGAUCGUCUGACGGUACCUUAUGAAUAAGCACCGGCUAACUCCGUGCCAGCAGCCGCAGUAACAC
rnacentral:rRNA from 1 species